GGCGCUCGCUGAUUGGCCAUCCGUGCAGGCAGGUGCGGUCUGGCACCUCGGGAUCCCAACGGGUGGCCGCCUGCGUGGCUGCCUGCCUCACCUCAGCCAAAUAUAAGUCUUAACGUUACAUCUGCAAUGGAAAAACAAGUCAAACUCAGCAAAAAGGAGCCCUGAAGAGACAGAGUUAAGUGCUUCCGUGAUGAGAGUAGAGUUGGCCUAUGCUGUCCCUCCCAGGACUCCUUUACCCAAGAGAAAGAGAGAGUGUGCAUCCAAAGGGGAGUGAAAAUAGAAUAUAAAUAGGGAAAAUAGAACCAUUCAGAGCAGUUCAGGGAUCUUUACUACUCUGACAUGGAAGGAAGAAGGAGGAGAAGAGAAAAGAUGAACGGACCUUGAACCUGGGAUAUCGCUCAUGUGACUGCUACAUUGGUAUUAAGAUACAGCAUUCAUGUGCCCUGGAAUGUUUUGUUCUAUUAGGUGCUACACCCAGUAGAACAGUGCUCCAUCCAAUGCAAUUUUCUGGAAUUUAAACAAUCCAGACCAGAAUUUUUCCUCCUUGGAGAUGGAAUGUCUUGCUCCAGAGGGAGGAGGAAGAAGAGAAAAGAGAAGUCUCAACCAGCCUCCUCUCUACCCCACACAGAGAAUAGAGAUGCAAAACUUCUCCCAUAGAGUGUUUCAGCUUCUUCCUCGUUCCUCUUGCUUCUUUUCUCUUGGGAUAAUGACUUGGGUUUGGCCAGUAUGUAAAGUUGACUUGUGGUACCUCUGGCUCUUCUCCAGGGGUGCUCACAGAAAUAACUACAGUGGACUAGAAUGAGAUGCUUGAAACCUUCCCCCGAGCCUAGCUCUGCAUUUAGGAGAACAGCACAGCGCACCAUGAUCUGAUAUAGGUAUAGGUGGGUGGGAGUCUCAGUCUGUAGUUCUAUAUCACCUAUUAAGAGACUGGAACCUGGUCCCAUGUUUUCUGCAGGAGGUUGAGCUCUUAACAAUGUGCCAAGCCAGCAGCUGUGCCCUAGAGUCUUGGCCUAAGACAAGCAAAUAAUUGUCAGAUGACUGAAUAGUUCUGUUUCCUUAUUAAAUCUUAGGUUUAGAAUUCCUUUCACAAUUAAAAAGAUUUGGACAACAA
rnacentral:lncRNA from 1 species